rnacentral:piRNA from 1 species
UUGGCCAUUUAAGUCAUUCUCACUUUCUGA